UACAGAGGUCUCAAGCGUUGUUCGGAUUCAUUGGGCGUAAAGGGUGCGUAGGUGGCGCGCUAAGUCGGGUGUGAAAUUUCGGAGCUUAACUCCGAAACUGCAUUCGAUACUGGCGUGCUUGAGGACUGGAGAGGAGACUGGAAUUCAUGGUGUAGCAGUGAAAUGCGUAGAGAUCAUGAGGAAGACCAGUGGCGAAGGCGGGUCUCUGGACAGUUCCUGACACUGAGGCACGAAGGCCAGGGGAGCAAACAGG
rnacentral:rRNA from 1 species